rnacentral:rRNA from 1 species
AGUGAACGCUGGCGGUAGGCCUAACACAUGCAAGUCGAACGGCAGCACAGUAAGAGCUUGCUCUUACGGGUGGCGAGUGGCGGACGGGUGAGGAAUACAUCGGAAUCUACUUUUUCGUGGGGGAUAACGUAGGGAAACUUACGCUAAUACCGCAUACGACCUACGGGUGAAAGCAGGGGAUCUUCGGACCUUGCGCGAUUGAAUGAGCCGAUGUCGGAUUAGCUAGUUGGCGGGGUAAAGGCCCACCAAGGCGACGAUCCGUAGCCGGUCUGAGAGGAUGAUCAGCCACACUGGAACUGAGACACGGUCCAGACUCCUACGGGAGGCAGCAGUGGGGAAUAUUGGACAAUGGGCGCAAGCCUGAUCCAGCCAUACCGCGUGGGUGAAGAAGGCCUUCGGGUUGUAAAGCCCUUUCGUUGGGAAAGAAAAGCAGCAGGUUAAUACCCCGCUGUUCUGACGGUACCCAAAGAAUAAGCACCGGCUAACUUCGUG